rnacentral:rRNA from 1 species
UACAGAGGGUGCGAGCGUUAAUCGGAAUUACUGGGCGUAAAGCGCGCGUAGGCGGCUUUUCAAGUCGAUUGUGAAAUCCCCGGGCUUAACCUGGGAACUGCAGUCGAGACUGUCUAGCUAGAGUAUGGGAGAGGGAAGUGGAAUUUCAGGUGUAGCGGUGAAAUGCGUAGAUAUCUGGAGGAACACCGGUGGCGAAGGCGGCAUCCUGGGCCAAUUCUGACGCUGAGGAGCGAAAGCCAGGGGAGCAAACGGG